rnacentral:ncRNA from 1 species
GGGGGGUUAGACCUUCAGUGCCGCAGUUAACACAUUAAGCACUCCGCCUGGGGAGUACGGUCGCAAGACUGAAACUCAAAGGAAUUGACGGGGACCCGCACAAGCAGCGGAGCAUGUGGUUUAAUUCGAAGCAACGCGAAGAACCUUACCAAGACUUGACAUCCUCCGGACGGCUCUGGAGACAGGGCUUUCCCUUCGGGGACUGGAGAGACAGGUGGUGCAUGGUUGUCGUCAGCUCGUGUCGUGAGAUGUUGGGUUAAGUCCCGCAACGAGCGCAACCCUUGCCUUUAGUUGCCAUCAGGUAAAGCUGGGCACUCUAGAGGGACUGCCGGCUAAAAGUCGGAGGAAGGUGGGGAUGACGUCAAAUCAUCAUGCCCCUUAUGUCUUGGGCUACACACGUGCUACAAUGGCCGGUACAGAGGGCAGCGAACCCGCAAGGGGGAGCGAAUCCCAAAAAGCCGGUCCCAGUUCGGAUUGUGGGCUGCAACUCGCCCACAUGAAGCUGGAGUUGCUAGUAAUCGCGAAUCAGAAUGUCGCGGUGAAUGCGUUCCCGGGUCUUGUACACACCGCCCGUCACACCAUGAGAGUCGGCAACACCCGAAGCCAGUGGGCUAACC